rnacentral:rRNA from 1 species
CCUACGGGAGGCAGCAGUGAGGAAUAUUGGUCAAUGGCCGGAAGGCUGAACCAGCCAAGCCGCGUGAAGGACGAAGGUGCCAAGCAUUGUAAACUUCUUUUAUAAAGGAAUAAAGUGAGGCACGUGUGCCUUUUUGUAUGUACUUUAUGAAUAAGGAUCGGCUAACUCCGUGCCAGCAGCCGCGGUAAUACGGAGGAUCCGAGCGUUAUCCGGAUUUAUUGGGGUUAAAGGGAGCGUAGAUGGGUUGUUAAGUCAGUUGUGAAAGUUUGCGGCUCAACCGUAAAAUUGCAAUUGAUACUGGCAGUCUUGAGUACAGUUGAGGUAGGCGGAAUUCGUGGUGUAGCGGUGAAAUGCUUAGAUAUCACGAAGAACUCCGAUGGCGAAGGCAGCUUACUAAACUUCCACUGACAUUGAUGUUCGAAAGUGUGGGUAUCAAACAGGAUUAGAUACCCGGGUAGUC